CACGCCGUAAACGGUGGGCACUAGGUGUGGGUUCCAUUCCACGGAAUCCGUGCCGAAGCUAACGCAUUAAGUGCCCCGCCUGGGGAGUACGGCCGCAAGGCUAAAACUCAAAGGAAUUGACGGGGGCCCGCACAAGCGGCGGAGCAUGCGGAUUAAUUCGAUGCAACGCGAAGAACCUUACCUGGGUUUGACAUAUACCGGAAACAUCUAGAGAUAGGUGCCCCGCAAGGUCGGUAUACAGGUGG
rnacentral:rRNA from 1 species